rnacentral:rRNA from 1 species
UGGGGAAUCUUAGACAAUGGGGGAAACCCUGAUCUAGCCAUGCCGCGUGAUCGAUGAAGGCCUUAGGGUUGUAAAGAUCUUUCAGUUGGGAAGAUAAUGACGGUACCAACAGAAGAAGCCCCGGCUAACUCCGUGCCAGCAGCCGCGGUAAUACGGAGGGGGCUAGCGUUAUUCGGAAUUACUGGGCGUAAAGCGCACGUAGGCGGAUCAGAAAGUCAGAGGUGAAAUCCCAGGGCUCAACCUUGGAACUGCCUUUGAAACUCCUGGUCUUGAGGUCGAGAGAGGUGAGUGGAAUUCCGAGUGUAGAGGUGAAAUUCGUAGAUAUUCGGAGGAACACCAGUGGCGAAGGCGGCUCACUGGCUCGAUACUGACGCUGAGGUGCGAAAGCGUGGGGAGCAAACA